rnacentral:rRNA from 1 species
UACGGAGGGUGCAAGCGUUGUCCGGAUUUAUUGGGUUUAAAGGGUGCGUAGGCGGCCCUGUAAGUCAGUGGUGAAAUACUGCAGCUUAACUGUACGCAUUGCCAUUGAUACUGUAGGGCUUGAGUACAGAUGAGGUAGGCGGGAAUUGAUGGUGUAGCGGUGAAAUGCAUAGAUACCAUCAAGAACACCGAUUGCGAAGGCAGCCUUACUAAGCUGUAACUGACGCUGAGGCACGAAAGCGUGGGGAUCGAACAGG